rnacentral:tRNA from 5 species
GGGGAAGUGUCGGAACUGGUAGACGAGCAUGAUUUAGGAUCAUGUGCUGCAAGGCGUCCGGGUUCGAGUCCCGGCUUCCCCACCA